UACGGAGGUGGCAAGCGUUGCUCGGAAUCACUGGGCGUAAAGGGCGCGUAGGCGGGGAGGUAAGUCGGACGUGAAAUCCCCAGGCUCAACCUGGGAACUGCGUCCGAUACUGGAUGGCUUGAAUCCGGGAGAGGGAUGCAGAAUUCCAGGUGUAGCGGUGAAAUGCGUAGAUAUCUGGAGGAAUACCGGUGGCGAAGGCGCAUCCUGGACCGGCAUUGACGCUGAGGAGCGAAAGCCAGGGGAGCAAACGGG
rnacentral:rRNA from 1 species